GCAAAAACUCCUGUUGCGGCUCCUGGAAUCCCUCCGGCUCGUUCACCUUUUGACUGCCACAAUUUGCCCCAAAACGUUCGGACCGCGAAAGGAACCAUCCCGACAGACUCAGAGCCACGAAAAGCUCCGAAGGCUCUGGAAAAUGUUUGAGAUGUUGACUCCCCAAUUCUUGUUCACCAACCUUCUGGAGGGGCACCUUAAGCUCCGGUUGAAAUGAGGGCACUGAAAAAUGGCAUUCUUCUAUAAAUUGUUCCGUGGCUUAACUGAAAGAAACAUCUGAACUCCUUCUGCUGGUUGAAGAAGAGAAGAGAGAAAACUCAUAACAUUGCUUAUACGCUUGAAAGUGAAAUUGGGAGAAAUGGACUGAUUUUAAUGCUGUUGUGGACAG